UCAGCGGCUGCUGGCCUGGACCAGAGCUCCUUACUUCUCUGACUCUGCUCCUUUUGGCCCUCUUGCUGGUUGCACCAUCUUUUCCCACUCAUCCAUCCCAAGUCCUUUUCAAGUUCACCCUCUUACUAGUCCCCCACAGCCAGUCACUAAAUCCAUUUUGCCCUGUAACUCUCACUUCAGUGGGUCCCCCCUCUUCUCCAACCCCAAGGCCCCCACCCCAAUUCCAAUUGCCUGCCCUCUUUAGCCCUCUGAUUGCAGAGGCCCUGCCACAAGCGACCAGCUGAUCCUGGAACCCAUUUUCCUCUUCCUGCUGUUGGUGUUUCUCUAUGUCUCAUGGCAGCUGAGAGCAUACUGUCAUCAUAUGGUCAAAGAUAACUGCUAGAAUUCCAAAAGAUCGCUCCUCUAGGACACAAACACUUGUCCUACUAAAGGACUUAUGAAUCUUGAAAGUUCAGCCUUGGGAUUAAAGCCUGCAGUAGUAUCUUCUCUUCGUUUUCAGUGGGUAACAUUCCUCCUUCAGACUAAAGGCCGACAAUUACUGAAUCAGCCAGCAGGGGGCAAAGCUGCUCUAGUUUAGUAAAUUCGAAUUGCCUCUUAUUACAAAAGUGUGGAACGUUUGGAAAAUAUAGAUAAGCCAAUAGUAGAAAAUAAAAAUCACCUGAUAUCCUGUACCUCAGACAACCACUCAGAACAUUAUGGCACUUUGUUUACGUUAGUUUUCUCCUCUACCUAAAUGUAAAUAAAAUUUUUAAAUGCAGUAUUUCUCUACAUACUAUCUUAUUUCUUCUUUGUAACAAAAUCCUGUAAAGAUCUUUCCUAAGUGUUAUAUGUUCUUCUAUGGCAUUAUUUUCUGAUGUUUAAUUAUUACAAAAAUCAUGGACAGUAUACUUCAUUGUGGUUAUAUUUUGGGGGCAUACUGUAGGGGAGGAGAAAUAAUUUUCCCUGUACCCUUCUAGGUUCUUGGCUGAGACCCCUCACCUUGUAAUAAAAGACAGAUCAACAGGAGAAAAACAAACAAGUUUAACAACAUGUGUGCUUCCUGUAUAUAUGGGAGAGACCUAGGAAAACUAAGAAAUUCCCCCAAACGUCACAAGCCAUCAUCUUAAAUACCAUCUUCAACUAAAGACAAAGGACGAUGUUGGGAGCAGGGUGGGAGCCAGUUAUGGGAGAUGACCAGGAAAAGCACCGUAAACAAGGAUCCAGCAUUGCCAUCUGAGUCAAGCAGCAGCUGUACUGGCAAUUUGACCUGCUACUACUGAGGUUAUAAUCUCCUUCUAUGUGAUAUGUAAACAGAAAAACUCAUGUGGAUAUAACCAGUCAGGAACUAUUUUGUUAUUCCUGUUGCCAUCAAUGGCAGCUCCUGAAAGUGAACAUGUAUAAACACAUGAUCCAGUACAACGUUGUUUCAAUCUAAUUCCAAUUCAUAUGCUUCUCUGACACUUGAAUGGCCUUGGGUUAUGCCAUGUAUGAAGACUGAGGCUGCCAAUACUUGGUGACACUGCCCAUGCAGCUUAGCCAAACCAAUGCAAUGGUGACAACAAAUCCUGAACUGUGCCCCUUUGGGUUAUAUGUUUGUAUGUAGGGGAGAGUGGGCCAUGAUCUGUCUCUCCAUUGGGGAUGGCUUUUUGGCCCAUCUGCUCUUUAUAAAUAUUGGCAAUGACAACAAAGAUCAUCAGGAUAAUCUAAACUCCCUCAUGUGGGCUGCAAUGGAUAAUAGUCUGGCCUUAGACUAUAUCCUUACUGUCUAAAAGAAGACCUAGCAGUCCCCCUGGGAUUUAUUCAGAGUUGGAGAGACCAGGACUCCGGGAGGCAUGGAUGAGAUCACUACAGCAAGUGGUCUUAUCCUGCAGCUUGGAGUUCUGCUGAAAAUAGUUUAUGAGACAAUUUAAACAGAUUUGAUCCCAGACUCUAUUGGUCAGAUUAAUCAGAGUGGCAUAUUCAUGUAAAAAUCCACAUUUGGCCAAGAAUUUGUUGGGCUGAAGGGUGGAAUGUUGGGAGGGGCCACUCACCAUGGGCCAUUAGUGCCCUUGUAAAUUUUUGCUAGGCAUGCCAAGACUGGAAGAUCUUGACUACUCUUUAGUAGGCCAUUUCUCAGGAUUGUGUUUGCAUCACUGUAAACAGCCUUGAGGGAUGAGGUGACUUCUUCCCCUAGAUAGAGAGGGCUUGUUUCCACUUGCUAUAAAAGCAAUGAAUUCCCCAAGCUUGCUGUUCCUCUCCUGUACUGUAGCCUACUGCAUGUGCCAACAUCCAUGAUAGGUCUUUUGCAUCACCUCCAUGGGACUUAGGGAGCAUGGGGAACCAGCAUGAGCAUUAUGCUGAUCCUCUGGCUAUUGCUUUUGCCAGGAGUAAGAAGGUCAUUUGUCUCAGAGCAGGAGUCUUGUGUCUUUUGUCCAUAUCCACGAAACAGUAACAGGUUAACGAUUUAGCUUAUAAGUAGGGUACAAUCUUGUAUCCUGUAGAAUCCUUGACAGUAUCUUGUCUUUUUGUUUCUUUAACAGUGAUUUUUAAAGAGCACAAGUUUCUAAUUUUGAUAAAGUCCGAUUUAUCAAUUGUUUCUUUUAUGGAUUGUGCUUUUGUGUCAUGCCUAAUCAUUCUUUGUCUAAUCCCAGGUCACACAGUUUCUCCUGUGCUUUCUUCUAAGAUUUUUUAGAGUUUUAUAUUUAGAUUUAUAAUCCAGUUUGGAUUGAUUUUUGAAUAAGGUGUUAUUUUUAGGUCAAGGUUCAAUUUUUCUUCUUUUGCCUAUUGAUAUCCAAGUAUUUCAACACAUUUUUGUUGAAAGGUUAUCCCUUCUCUAUUGAAUUGCUUUUUUAUCUUUGUAAAAAAUCAGUUAGCCAUAUGUGUGUAGAUCUAUUUUGGGACUCUAUUCUGUUCCAUUGAUAUGUGUGUUUCUCGCUUCUUCAAUGCCACACUGUUCAAUUACUGCAACAUUAUAGUAUGAUAAUCUGAAAAAUAAAAUAGAUAAAAUGCAAACAUAAGACUUUACCCUAAUUACAUUACAGAAUGUGUUUCCUGCAGUGUGGAAGGAGAAUAUAAUUCAUAUUCCAUACUGUGUGAUAUCAUCACAUACUGCACAUAAAUAUGUAAACUAGUGAGUUCAUUAAAUAUUAAAUAAUUAGAAUUAGAUAGUUAGGUAGUAAAUGCUUUAUAUUAUGCAGAAACCUCUGGUGGCCUAUAUAGACAUUGUAAAGAGUGUUUUAGCAAAAUUUUGGAAAAUUGGUUUGGGAUAAGCUGAGAAACAUUAUUAUUUUUCCCAUUUACAUUAAUGAAAGAGGAGUUGGUGUCAAGAUGGUGGCAUAGGUGGACUCUGAACUCACCUCCUCCCAUGAACACAACCAAUCUACAACUAUUUUUGGAACAAUUACCCCUGAGAGAGAAGUGAAAACUGGAUAAAAAGAACCCCCAAAACAAGGGACAGUCCUGACUGAGGCAGAAGAGGCAGAAAUACCUUCUGGAGAGAAAAAGGCCACCUUUGCAAGCCACAGUGCUCCACAGCUGGCCAGGAGCAACCCUAAAGUACGCAGCCUUCCCUGGAGGAGCAGGUUACCUGAACAGGGGAGCAUUACUGCUAUAAGCAUCCUUCAGACUCAGCACAACUGAGAUGACUCUCAUAAUAUCUGGCUUUUCUUGCUAGUAACUACAAUGGGGAAUACCCCGAGAAAAGCUACCAGACAUAAGCUGAAAAAAAGCCAGUUAUUAAUGGGUCCAUGCACAAAUUUGCCAGUUUUGGAAAGCAAUAUAAAAUCACCAGAAAGAAAGAUGCAAAGUCCUUUGGUGAAAAGAGAUUCACUUGAUAGGCCCUGGGUGCAUCUUGGUGAGAGAUGAGACCUCUCCAGGGACUGAGACAUUGGCGGUAGCCAUUAUUGUGACCUAGUACAGGUGUGUGGUCACAGACACUGGCAGAUGCCAUUGGAGUUCUUCCCCUAGCCUGUUAGCCCAGGGGUCUGCCCCACCCACUAGAGUACAGAUUUAAUCCAGCUCAGCCAGGGCAGGCAGCCCACCCUAGAGAAUGGCCUCACCCAACAGCAAGCCCUCAGGCAACUUUUGACCUGCAUAGACUGGGUGCCUGGAUCUGCUGCAAGCAGGCAAAUGGUUCCUCCUCUGUGGAACAGGGUGCGCGUGAGGAGCAGUGUAGUUAGCAGGGCAUUGGUGGAGUGUGUGUGGGCCUCUGCAGUGGGGUGACUGGGUAUGCUCCAGGGGGCUGGGACGUGUGCAUGGGCCAGGACCAUGUUGACAGUGUGUGUGGAUCUGUGGGCUGUGGGACUUAUCAUCAACAGAAGACAUGUGCUUCUCAAAUAGCCACAUAGGGGAUCGGCCCCACCUUCCAAAGCAUGAAACGAUUGGGCUUUCUCAUGCCUGGGGCCAGCCCCACUCAGCUGCAAUCCUGAGAGAGCCAACAACAGCCUUACAGACCAGAGGACUAUAGCAAUUGUAAGCCCCUGAGCCUAGCAACGAGCCACGCUGGGGGCCCACUUACUUAACAGAAAAAUAGCAACAGGAAUGUGCUAUUAGACCUUGUAGCCACUGUGCUGGGGCUCCCCAAACUUGAUAAAGUGACUGAAGGGUCCAUAACAGCCACAUGCAGCUGAGCAUUACAACCAGGUGGCCAGGGGGACAGCCUAGACUCCCUGGGCACCUGCAGCAAGAGCAAACCUGCCACAACAGAAGGACACAUGUAGCUCACACAGGGGUCACUCCUGGAACAUUUGAAACUGGUGAUGAGAGGGAAACACACUGCUGGCCCUCAAAAGGCAUCUCCUUACAUAAGCCCACUUCUCCAAAAUCAGGAGACACAGCUGACUCACCUAAUACAUAGAUAUAAACACAGAGAAAGAAGCAAAAUGAGGAGGCACAGGAAUAUGUUCCAAGCAAGGGAACAAGACAAAACCCCAGAAAAAUAACUAAAUGAAGCAGAAAUAAACAAUCUACCAGACAAAGAGUUCAAACAAAAAGUCACAAGGAUGCUCACUGAUCUUGGGAGAAGAUUGGAUGAACACAGUGAGAACAUCAACAAAGAAUUGGAAAAUAUAAAAAAGAACCAAUCAGAAAUGAAGAAUACAAUACUGAAAAUGAAAAAUUCACUAGAGAGACUCAGCAGAGUAGAGGAUACAGAAGAACAGAUCAGCAAGCUGGACAAAAGACUAGAGGAAAUCAACCAAGCUGAAGAGAUAAAAGAAAAAAGAAUUAAAAAGAACAAGAACAGUCUAAGGGAUCUCUGGGGCAACAUCAAGC
ensembl:lncRNA